GGGUCGUUGGUUUAUGGGGAUUCUGCGCUUAGGGUGCGAGAGGUCCGGGUUCAAAUCCCGAAUGAGCCC